rnacentral:lncRNA from 1 species
AAGGAGGCAAGAUAGCUAAAUAAACUAAAUAUUUCAACAAUAAAAGAGCAGAAUAUGUUUGGCCCUGUUCAGAUUCACAGGAGAGGUGAAGGUCUCAAGGAGCUUUUCUCUUGCAGAUGUUCCUGUGUUGCUUACAAGAAAGAAGAGGAUAAUCCAGUGUCAGCUAAAAAAGGACCCCUGAACAAGUUUAUUUCCAGGAUGGCUGGGUGCUCAGAGACCUGCACUGAGCUGACAGAUCCUGAAGUAUCUCUGGUGGCUGAAUGCCUGCAGGCUCUGGAAGCAAACCCUGGAGUAAGGAAAUUCUUGCUGCAGUCAUCUGCCCAAACUGUGCCAGAAGGAGCCAGUGCUCAAGGACAGCUGCUGGAGUGCAGCUGGCAUCCCAGGAUGGGAGCUCCUGAUACUGGAGAUACAGUGGGCUGUGACAAAAUGGAACAGCUGUCUGUGGACUUCACUGUGUCAGACACCACCAUUUUACAGUGAUCCCUGUCCAAUGGAGAACCUUUGGGAGGAGUUUCUCUGCUACAGGCCAAUGUUUGUCACCUUUCAUUUGCAAAUAUCAAGGUAAGGAACAAAGCAAAUGCAUGAAUAUUUGUGUUCAAGCCUGUUUUCUCCUUUGAUAAUUUGAUUAUGAUUAUGUGUUUGCUGUACAGCUCUGGGAUUCCCUGCUGGACUCUGCCCCAAGCACUGGCCAGGGGCCCACUGGCUCCAAACCAGUUCUCUGCAUAGAAGGGUUUGCUCCUGGCUCCUUCACACGGAGAACUCAGUUUAGAUUGCCUGAAUCCACCAAUAAAACUUGGAUUCACCGGACA